UACGUAGGUGGCAAGCGUUGUCCGGAAUUAUUGGGCGUAAAGCGCGCGCAGGCGGUCUUUUAAGUCUGAUGUGAAAGCCCACGGCUCAACCGUAGAGGGUCAUUGGAAACUGGGAGACUUGAGUGCAGAAGAGAAGAGUGGAAUUCCACGUGUAGCGGUGAAAUGCGUAGAGAUGUGGAGGAACACCAGUGGCGAAGGCGACUCUUUGGUCUGUAACUGACGCUGAGGCGCGAAAGCGUGGGGAGCAAACAGG
rnacentral:rRNA from 1 species